GAAGGAGGAGCACAUGUUACUAUGGUCAGAACGAAAGCUUGCACCUCUUGCAAUAUGCAUAUCUAUCAUGGAAAGAGGACAAAGGAAGGGAAUUUAUUGAUCCAUCACUGGAUGAUUCUUCUUCUUCUUGUAAAUUAUCGAGAUGCUUGCAAGUAGCUCUAUUUUGUGUCCAGGAAAAUCCGGAGGCUAGGCCUACAAUGUUGGAAGUUUAUUCCAUGCUCAAAACUGACAUUGAACCCGUUCCCACUCCUA